rnacentral:lncRNA from 1 species
GCGGUUAUCCGGGGCCCGCUGAAGGAUUCCACGGUGCUACUGAGGCUGCUGCACGUCGGCCGCUGCGGUGGAGGGGGAGACGGCGGCGGGUGACGCCCUCCAAAGGCGAAUCGCGCGUCGGAGGGGGAGCGGAAGGGAGGGACGGGAGGUGGAGGAGAGGAGGGGGAGCAGGGAAAGUUGGUCUUAGCCUUAGGCCCCCGGAAGGCGAUGGCGGCGGCGUCGUAGGCCCGGGCGGCGUCCUCGGCGGAGUCGAAGGUGCCGAGCCACACCCGGGCUUUCUUCCAGGGAUCCCGGAUCUCGGCCGCAAACCGCCCCCACGGCCGCUUCCGGACGCCGCGGUACCGAACCUCCACCGUCAUCGCCGCGGCAGCCGCAGCCACAGCCGGAGCUCGGCCCUUCCGCAUCUCUUCUUCAACACACACGGAAACCCAAUGAUCGGAUCUUCAAGGGGCGAGGAGGCGAACAGAUGAUCGAUCAAAGGCGUCGCUUUGAACUCUUGUAUCUCAAAUCCUGUUCCUCCUCAUCCUCCGCCUCCGCCUUGCAAUCAAUCGGCCUCCAAACAGAAGGAAGACUUGGAAUGCUCCGAUUCCUUCGUACACCAGUCGAUCAAUCACACAUCCCCUUCUCCUCCGGCCUCCACCUUCCCCCGUCCCCCUUCCCCC